GGCCUGGUGGUCUAGUAGUAUGAUUCCUUCUUAGGGUUCUGCCAUUUGGAGGAGGUCCCGGGUUCAAUUCCCGGCCAGGCCC
rnacentral:tRNA from 1 species